GACGAACGCUGGCGGCGUGCUUAACACAUGCAAGUCGAGCGGUAAGGCCCUUUCGGGGGUACACGAGCGGCGAACGGGUGAGUAACACGUGGGUGACCUGCCCUCAGCUCUGGGAUAAGCCUGGGAAACCGGGUCUAAUACCGGAUAUGACUCCAUGACGCAUGUUGUGGGGUGGAAAGCCUUGUGCGGCUGAGGAUGGGCCCGCGGCCUAUCAGCUUGUUGGUGGGGUGAUGGCCUACCAAGGCGACGACGGGUAGCCGGCCUGAGAGGGCGACCGGCCACACUGGGACUGAGACACGGCCCAGACUCCUACGGGAGGCAGCAGUGGGGAAUCUUGCGCAAUGGGCGAAAGCCUGACGCAGCGACGCCGCGUGAGGGAUGACGGCCUGGUGUAACC
rnacentral:rRNA from 1 species